rnacentral:rRNA from 1 species
AUGGCUGGAGGAGGUGAGACGAUGGGGCUGGGAGGGCUGUGGAGGAGGUACGCGCCGCACAACAUGAUGAUCAUGGUGCAGCUCUGCUACACCCUCAUGUACUUCGUCACCGAGGCCGCCUUCAACCGCGGCCUCAACCCCUACGUCUACGUCACCUACCGCCACCUCCUCGUCGCCCUCCUCCUCUGGCCCUUCGCCUACUACCACGAGAAGAAGCUGAGGCCCAAGAUGACCUGGAUGCUGUUCCUGGAGAUCUUCGUGCUCUCGCUUCUGGGGGUGAGCUUGACCCUGAACAUGUACUUCGCGAGCCUCAAGUACACGUCCCCGACCUUCGUCACCUCCAUGGUCAACACCGUCGCCUCCAUCACCUUCGUCAUCGCCAUCGCGCUCCGGAUGGAGAUCGUGGACCUGCGCAGCGCGCGGGGGCUCGCCAAGGUGGCCGGCACCGCGGUGUCCUUCGCGGGGGUCACCACCAUGACGCUCUACAAGGGCGCGGCCAUCGCGAGCCCCUGGAGGGCGCCCGUGCGCAUCCCCGGCGCCGGCGGCGACGCCCCGCACGACGCCUGGCUCAAGGGGUCCCUCCUUGCCGUCGCCAGCUGCGUGUGCUGGUCCGUCUGGUACAUCAUGCAGGCCACGUCCGUGAAGCGCUACCCGGCGGAGCUGUCGCUGACGGCGUGGAUGGCCACCGUGGGCGGCGCCCAGUCGGCGGCCUUCGCGGUGCUGCUGCAGCACGAGAGGCGGGACUGGCUCGUCGGCUUCGGCCUCAACUUCUGGUGCAUCAUCUACUCCGGGCUCGCGUGCAGCGGGUUCACGGUGUUCGCGCAGCUGUGGUGCACGGAGAAGAAGGGGCCCGUGUUCGUCACCAUGUUCAACCCGGUGUCCACCAUCAUGGUGGCCAUCCUCGCCUACUUCAUCUUCGGCGAGAACCUAUACGUCGGAAGCAUAAUCGGGGGAGUGGUGGUCAUCCUGGGCCUCUACAUGCUGCUCUGGGGCAAGGACAAGGACCAGGAGUACAACAACGCAGGAGCAGCGGCGAGCGGCGAGGAGCAGGCCGGCGAGCCCGGUCUGGACUGCGAGAAGCAGCGACAGGAGGAACAAGAGGAGACCAAGACGAUGAAGUAG